AGUCAACGCUGGCGGUAGGCCUAACACAUGCAAGUCGAACGGCAGCACAGUAAGAGCUUGCUCUUACGGGUGGCGAGUGGCGGACGGGUGAGGAAUACAUCGGAAUCUACUUUUUCGUGGGGGAUAACGUAGGGAAACUUACGCUAAUACCGCAUACGACCUACGGGUGAAAGCAGGGGAUCUUCGGACCUUGCGCGAUUGAAUGAGCCGAUGUCGGAUUAGCUAGUUGGCGGGGUAAAGGCCCACCAAGGCGACGAUCCGUAGCUGGUCUGAGAGGAUGAUCAGACACACUGUAACUGAGACACGGUCCAGACUCCUACGGGAAGAAGCGUUGGGGAAUAUUGGACAAUGGGCGCAAGCCUGAUCCAGCCAUACCGCGUGGGUGAAGAAGGCCUUCGGGUUGUAAAGCCCUUUUGUUAGGAAAGAAAAGCAGCAGGUUAAUACCCCGCUGUUCUGACGGUACCCAAAGAAUAAGCACCGGCUCACUUCGUG
rnacentral:rRNA from 1 species